CCUACGGGAGGCAGCAGUGGGGGAUAUUGCACAAUGGCGGGAACGCUGAUGCAGCGACGCCGCGUGAGCGAAGAAGUACCUCUGUAUGUAAAGCCCUAUCUGCAGGGAAGAAAAUGACGGUACCAGACUAAGAAGCCCCGGGUCAAUACGUGCCAGCAACCGCGGUAAAACGUAGGGGGCAAGCGUUAUCCGGAUUUACUGGGUGUAAAGGGAGCUCAGGGGGCCUUGCAAGUCUGGUGUGAAAACCCGGGGGCCAACCCCGGGCGUGCAGUGGAAACUGGCGGGCUGGAGUGUGGGAGGGGCAGGCGGAAUGCCUAGUGUAGCGGUGAAAUGCGUAGAUAUUAGGAGGAACACCGAUGGCGAAGGCGGCCUGCUGGACGAUGACUGACGCUGAGGCUCGAAAGCGUGGGGAGCGAACAGGAUUAGAUACCCUGGUAGUC
rnacentral:rRNA from 1 species